rnacentral:rRNA from 1 species
UACGAGGGGGGCGAGCGUUGUUCGGAAUUAUUGGGCGUAAAGGGUGCGUAGGCGGUUUGGUAAGUCUUGUGUGAAAUCUACAGGCUCAACUUGUAGUCUGCACGAGAAACUGCCGGGCUUGAGUGUGGGAGAGGUGAGUGGAAUUUCCGGUGUAGCGGUGAAAUGCGUAGAUAUCGGAAGGAACACCUGUGGCGAAAGCGGCUCACUGGACCACAACUGACGCUGAAGCACGAAAGCUAGGGGAGCAAACAGG